CCUACGGGAGGCAGCAGUGGGGAAUAUUGGACAAUGGGCGCAAGCCUGAUCCAGCCAUGCCGCGUGUGUGAAGAAGGCUUUCGGGUUGUAAAGCACUUUCAGUGGGGAAGAAGGCCUGUCGGCUAAUACCCGGCAGGGACGACAUCACCCACAGAAGAAGCACCGGCUAACUCCGUGCCAGCAGCCGCGGUAAUACGGAGGGUGCAAGCGUUAAUCGGAAUUACUGGGCGUAAAGCGCGCGUAGGUGGCUUGAUAAGCCGGUUGUGAAAGCCCCGGGCUCAACCUGGGAACGGCAUCCGGAACUGUCGGGCUAGAGUGCAGGAGAGGAAGGUGGAAUUCCCGGUGUAGCGGUGAAAUGCGUAGAGAUCGGGAGGAAUACCAGUGGCGAAGGCGGCCUUCUGGACUGACACUGACACUGAGGUGCGAAAGCGUGGGUAGCAAACAGGAUUAGAUACCCUGGUAGUCCACGCCGUAAACGAUGUCGACUAGCCGUUGGGUUCCUUGAGAACUUAGUGGCGCAGUUAACGCGAUAAGUCGACCGCCUGGGGAGUACGGCCGCAAGGUUAAAACUCAAAUGAAUUGACGGGGGCCCGCACAAGCGGUGGAGCAUGUGGUUUAAUUCGAUGCAACGCGAAGAACCUUAC
rnacentral:rRNA from 1 species